rnacentral:lncRNA from 1 species
AUCUAAUAUGUUUUGAUUAAAAAAGUGGCUGGAAAUGGGGAAUUGGUUUCAUCUUUUGAAAUGGCUUCCUUUUGAUCCUCAAUCCCGCCUAGUAGCCCAAGCUAUUUCACUACAUCACCAAAAGUGCAUCUUAAGCUACCGUCCAAACUUUAUGUAAUAUGUCCAAUUACAUGUUCAAAUAGUAGCCUCCUGUGGUAGUUUGCCAGCUGUUAUGCUCCGCAGUUUCCUUCUUUGCCUUGUGCCCUGUGAUCAUCAGAAGAAUGAUGAACUUCAGUAUCAGUACUCUACUAUUAUUUAAGGUAUAUUAAUUGAUUACCUUUUUGUACAAGUCCAGCUUGCAGAAUUCUUCUGUCAAUCAUCUUUACCUGACA